GCCCAAAUUAUUAUUAUCAUUACUACUAUUAUUAUUAAAUGUUAUUAUUAUCUUUUUCUUUACAAAUAAGCAAGAUUGAAAAGUAGUAUGAAAAGUAGUAUAUAUACAUGAAAUGAAAUGAAAGGGAAAAAAAAGAAAAGAAAAGAGGCUUUUCACAUUUUGAUCCUUAAAAAAAAGGUAAAAAAAAAAAAACAAUAACAACAACAAACAUUCUGUAACAAGCCAAAUUCAUCCAACCCAAACCCCAAAAAAAAACCAAAAACAAGUCAAUUAAGAGUCCAUCUGCUAACCUAGCCCAAAGCCCAAUUAUCGAAGCCUAAAGCCCAAAACCCUAAAAAAUUUUAGAAAUCCUAGCUCCCCCUAAAGUCUCCAACCAUCGCUCCCAUCGCC
rnacentral:lncRNA from 1 species